AACGAACGCUGGCGGCAGGCCUAACACAUGCAAGUCGAGCGAGGACUUCGGUCCUAGCGGCGGACGGGUGAGUAACGCGUGGGAACGUGCCCUUUGCUACGGAAUAGCCCCGGGAAACUGGGAGUAAUACCGUAUGUGCCCUUCGGGGGAAAGAUUUAUCGGCAAAGGAUCGGCCCGCGUUGGAUUAGGUAGUUGGUGGGGUAAUGGCCUACCAAGCCGACGAUCCAUAGCUGGUUUGAGAGGAUGAUCAGCCACACUGGGACUGAGACACGGCCCAGACUCCUACGGGAGGCAGCAGUGGGGAAUCUUAGACAAUGGGGGAAACCCUGAUCUAGCCAUGCCGCGUGAGCGACGAAGGCCUUAGGGUUGUAAAGCUCUUUCAGUGGGGAAGAUAAUGACGGUACCCACAGAAGAAGCCCCGGCUAACUCCGUGCCAGCCGCCGCCGUAAAAC
rnacentral:rRNA from 1 species